CUAAAAGAAAAGGCCCAGAUCUUAUCCCGAUCCGGGCCUAGGGGAAGGGCUCUUUUCUGAGCCUGCGCUAACUGUUUGAUAUUAAAUAUCUAUUGAUAGAGUUAAUUGUAGUGCAUUAUUCCGUUUUAGCGAGUUU
rnacentral:sRNA from 1 species